UUUUUGUUAAUAAUAUAAAGUAGGGCCUGCCCMCUGAUAAUUUGAAGGGCCGCAGUAUUUUGACUGUGCAAAGGUAGCAUAAUCAUUAGUUUUUUAAUUGAAAGCUAGUAUGAAUGGUUUGAUGAGAAAAAUACUUUCUAUAAUUAAUUUUUUAAGAAUUUUAUUUUUAAGUUAAAAAGCUUAAAUAUUUUUAAUAGACGAGAAGACCCUAUAGAGUUUAAUUAUUUUAUAUUUAUAUAAUAUUUAGAAUUAAAUUAUUUUUAUUUAUAAACUAAUUUGAUUGGGGUGAUUAAAAAAUUUAUUAAACUUUUUUUAUUUAUAUACAUUAAUUUAUGAAUUGUUGAUCCAUAAAAAUGAUUAAAAGAUUAAAUUACCUUAGGGAUAACAGCGUUAUUUUUUUUUAGAGUUCAAAUCGAAAAAAGAGAUUGCGACCUCGAUGUUGGAUUAAAGUUAAUUUUUGGUGUAGAAGCUAUAAUAUUUGGUCUGUUCGACCAUUAAAACUUUACA
rnacentral:rRNA from 1 species